CCUACGGGCGGCUGCAGUGGGGAAUAUUGGACAAUGGGCGAAAGCCUGAUGCAGCCAUGCCGCGUGUGUGAAGAAGGCCUUCGGGUUGUAAAGUACUUUCAGUGAGGAGGAAGGCAUUGGGGCUAAUACCCUCGAGGAAGGACAUUACCCACAGAAGAAGCACCGGCUAACUCCGUGCCAGCAGCCGCGGUAAUACGGAGGGUGCGAGCGUUAAUCGGAAUUACUGGGCGUAAAGCGCGCGUAGGCGGUCUGAUAAGCCGGUUGUGAAAGCCCCGGGCUCAACCUGGGAACGGCAUCCGGAACUGUCAGGCUAGAGUGCUGGAGAGGAAGGUAGAAUUCCCGGUGUAGCGGUGAAAUGCGUAGAGAUCGGGAGGAAUACCAGUGGCGAAGGCGGCCCUCUGGACUGACACUGACGCUGAGGUGCGAAAGCGUGGGUAGCAAACAGGAUUAGAUACCCCGGUAGUC
rnacentral:rRNA from 1 species